GCCCGCAUAGCUCAGUUGGCAGAGCAGUGCUUUCGUAAAGCACGGGUCGGGGGUUCAACUCCCUCUGCGGGCU
rnacentral:tRNA from 1 species